rnacentral:rRNA from 1 species
UACAGAGGUCCCAAGCGUUGUUCGGAUUCAUUGGGCGUAAAGGGUGCGUAGGCGGCGCGGUAAGUCGGGUGUGAAAUCUCGGGGCUUAACUCCGAAACUGCAUUCGAUACUGCCGUGCUUGAGGACUGGAGAGGAGACUGGAAUUUACGGUGUAGCGGUGAAAUGCGUAGAUAUCGUAAGGAAGACCAGUGGCGAAGGCGGUUACCUGGACAGUUACUGACGCUCAGGCACGAAAGCAUGGGGAGCAAAAGGG